ACAAACUUGGUCAUUUAGAGGAAGUAAAAGUCGUAACAAGGUAACCGUAGGUGAACCUGCGGUUGGAUCAUUACAGAAAAAUAUGGCCUGCUCCAUUCCAGUUUCUGGAUAUGGGCGGCACAUAUUCCACACCUAAAUGUGAAUGUUAACGUAUUUUGGUGGCCACGUUUCCUCUCUUCAAAGAGAGGAGGAGGAAGGUGAACAACCGAUCUCUUGGGCCACCAGUAAACCAAAACUCCUGUUUUAUUUUGUGUUUAUUCAGUGCCUCUUUAUUGAGGUUUCUUAAUCUGAAACAACUUUUGACAACGGAUCUCUUGGCUCUCGCAUCGAUGAAGAACGCAGC
rnacentral:misc_RNA from 1 species